UACGUAGGGCGCAAGCGUUAUCCGGAAUUAUUGGGCGUAAAGGGUGUGUAGGUGGCGCCGUAAGUCGGGUGUGAAAUUUCGGAGCUUAACUCCGAAACUGCAUUCGAUACUGCGGUGCUUGAGGACUGGAGAGGAGACUGGAAUUUACGGUGUAGCAGUGAAAUGCGUAGAUAUCGUAAGGAAGACCAGUGGCGAAGGCGGGUCUCUGGACAGUUCCUGACACUGAGACACGAAGGCCAGGGGAGCAAACGGG
rnacentral:rRNA from 1 species